GAACCUGAAACCGUGUGCUUACAAGUAGUCAGAGCCCGUUAAUGGGUGAUGGCGUGCCUUUUGUAGAAUGAACCGGCGAGUUACGAUUUGAUGCAAGGUUAAGCAGUAAAUGUGGAGCCGUAGCGAAAGCGAGUCUGAAUAGGGCGUUUAGUAUUUGGUCGUAGACCCGAAACCAGGUGAUCUACCCUUGGUCAGGUUGAAGUUCAGGUAACACUGAAUGGAGGACCGAACCGACUUACGUUGAAAAGUGAGCGGAUGAACUGAGGGUAGCGGAGAAAUUCCAAUCGAACCUGGAGAUAGCUGGUUCUCUCCGAAAUAGCUUUAGGGCUAGCCUCAAGUGAUGAUUAUUGGAGGUAGAGCACUGUUUGGACGAGGGGCCCCUCUCGGGUUACCGAAUUCAGACAAACUCCGAAUGCCAAUUAAUUUAACUUGGGAGUCAGAACAUGGGUGAUAAGGUCCGUGUUCGAAAGGGAAACAGCCCAGACCACCAGCUAAGGUCCCAAAAUAUAUGUUAAGUGGAAAAGGAUGUGGCGUUGCCCAGACAACUAGGAUGUUGGCUUAGAAGCAGCCAUCAUUUAAAGAGUGCGUAAUAGCUCACUAGUCGAGUGACACUGCGCCGAAAAUGUACCGGGGCUAAACAUAUUACCGAAGCUGUGGAUUGUCCUUUGGACAAUGGUAGGAGAGCGUUCUAAGGGCGUUGAAGCAUGAUCGUAAGGACAUGUGGAGCGCUUAGAAGUGAGAAUGCCGGUGUGAGUAGCGAAAGACGGGUGAGAAUCCCGUCCACCGAUUGACUAAGGUUUCCAGAGGAAGGCUCGUCCGCUCUGGGUUAGUCGGGUCCUAAGCUGAGGCCGACAGGCGUAGGCGAUGGAUAACAGGUUGAUAUUCCUGUACCACCUAUAAUCGUUUUAAUCGAUGGGGGGACGCAGUAGGAUAGGCGAAGCGUGCGAUUGGAUUGCACGUCUAAGCAGUAAGGCUGAGUAUUAGG
rnacentral:rRNA from 1 species